rnacentral:rRNA from 1 species
GACGAACGCUGGCGGCGUGCUUAACACAUGCAAGUCGAACGGAAAGGCCUCUUUCGGGGGGUACUCGAGUGGCGAACGGGUGAGUAACACGUGAGUAACCUGCCCUUGACUUUGGGAUAACUUCAGGAAACUGGGGCUAAUACCGGAUAGGAGCUCCUGCUGCAUGGUGGGGGUUGGAAAGUUUCGGCGGUUGGGGAUGGACUCGCGGCUUAUCAGCUUGUUGGUGGGGUAGUGGCUUACCAAGGCUUUGACGGGUAGCCGGCCGGAGAGGGUGACCGGCCACAUUGGGACUGAGAUACGGCACAGACUCCUACGGGAGGCAGCAGUGGGGAAUAUUGCACAAUGGGUGGAAGCCUGAUGCAGCAACGCCGUGUGCGGGAUGACGGCCUUCGGGUUGUAAACCGCUUUCGCUCAUGACGAAGCUUUGUGUGACGGUAGUGGGUAAAGAAGCACCGGCUAACUACGUG